UUUCUGACUGAAGCGAGGCCACUACUUGCAUAAAGCCUUAUAUUUUGGGUCCCUGGGGCAAGUUUAAACACCACACGGAAUUCUUUCCACAUCCUCAUCGUUACGUCUUUAUUAUUAUUGUUGCUUUUUUUCCCCUCUCCUUGCUUUAAACAUCUGAUUUUUAUUCUGCACAUCAGGUUUUUUACCUUGGGCCCCUGGUUCACUCCAGUGUAGAAAACCCUGAUGGCUUCAGCGGAGAAGUGAAGUCUGCAUUUGGUUUGUCUCAAAUUUAAAUGUUACAUUUGGAAAAGAUUGGUGACUUGUACAUGUGUGUUUCUGCUGAAGCGAUUGUAAUCAUAAAGCACUCCCGUUUCCCAGAUGUUGAGUCGUGGCUGCUGUGUGUGAGAGAUGCAGUGUGGCUGAGGAACCAGGUGGUGGCGCCACUGACAGAGGAGCUGGUGUUCAGAGGAGCCAUGCUGCCCAUGCUGCUGCCCUGCUCUGGAUCCACAGCUGCUGUCUUCACAGCUCCACUCUUCUUUGGUGUCGCUCACUUACAUCACAUCAUAGAGCAGCGGCGCCUCGCCAAAGACAACAUGAAGGUCAUCCUUCUGACGGCAGGCUAGUUUAUUUUAAACAUUCUUUUUGCGAUAUGCAUUCAGCUGAUUAUUAAUUGCUCCAUCAUCUUGCAGGAAUCCAGUUCUUGUACACGACUGUAUUUGGUGCCUUUACUGCCUUUAUAUUUCUGAGAACUGGUCACCUUGUGGGUCCAGUUUUGUGCCAUUCUUUCUGCAACAGUCAGGGUUUGCCGGACAUCGCUUCCGCUCUGCAGCACCCUCAGCGAUCAGCUUUACUUUCCUUCUACCUGGUGGGGGCCCUACUUUUCUUGGUGCUGCUUUUCCCUCUGACAGACCCAUACUUUUAUACUUCCAUUCCAGUCUGCAGCCUGGCUCCCCUUCCACCGUCUGCAUGUUAGAUUAGUUGAAAUAGAAUCAAGGUUUAAGAGAUACCUCACUGAACUCUGACUUUGUUUGAGGUUACAAAUGAAGAAAAAUGUAUUUUUUGUGAAAGGUGUGGGUGGCUGAGACAAAGAGAACACCCCAGACAUUUCACGUCUGGUUGAAAAUAUUUCCUACUGUAUGGAAACUUGCAACUUUUCCUGACUGUGAUGGAGAAACAGAGAUUUAUGCGUGUGUGCAACUGAGAAAACCAGAUGAACUGUGAACGAAAAUGAGUCAGAAGGAAAAGCUGUGGUUGAGAGAGCACUAGAGAAAUGUGCAUAUGCAGGGAGAAAGACAGAUGAACAGAAACACAGAUGGGGCUGCCAACAAAUACAUGAAAAGAAACUGAAGUAGAGAAUGAAAACAAAUGUUUAAGGACCAACAAGAGAAGGACAGGCAGACGUGAUGGAGUGAAAAAAGAGUGACAAAAAUGAUCGACAGCCAGCAGCAACAAGAGUCAUGCCAACAGAGGAGGCAAGAUGAAAGGAAGUAGAAGAAGUAAAAAUAAGGGAGAAUAGAAAAGGAUACAAGGGGAAGCAUGGAGGAAAGGUUAGGGUUCCCCCGGGGAAACAGAGCAUGUGCAGUAGCACAGAAGAGUGAGAAGGGAGGAGGUCAUUCAGGGUCCUUGGAACUGUUUGGGGUGAAAUGUUGUGUUGAACAAUGUUGACAGAGACUAAAGACAAAUAAGGAUUUAAAAUAAAAAAACUAAUAAAUUCAACUGAAAAC